GUGGUAGUACCGCCCCAGUAGCGACCUUCAGCCCUUCCCCGCCUCACACCCCUGAGAGCGGUUGUCCCUUCCCCCAUGUGCGGCAGCUCUAGCUGGAGGUGGCAGCGGCAGCAGCGGGGAGCCCCCUGCCCGGUUCAGUGAGUGACCCCGGGAAAGUGUUGGGCGGUGGGAGUCUCUGGCCGGUCUCAGGGCCGGGGGCUCUCCGGCCGCAGGCGGGGACUUGCUGCCCGACGCGCCUCCAUGCGGGGCCUGGGUCGGGACGGCGUCGCGAUCGUUUGGCGCUGGGGACGCGAUUCGAAGGAGAAGGGCCGUUUCCGCCUGCGAUGUUAGCUUGCUACUAAUGGGUGUGAGUAAACUGGAUAUUUUGUACAGACGGCUUCUACUCACUAAACUUUUCAUUCGAGGAUGGGGAAGACCAGAAGAUCUGAAAAGAAUAUUUGAAUUCAGAAAGAUUAUUGGAAACCGGGAAAAAUGCCAGAAGCUGGUUUCAAGAGAUUAUCCAGUGUUCAUUGACAAGGUUGAGGAGCAAUCAGACUGUAAAAUACUCGAUGGGCACUUCAUUUCCCCUUUGAUUCACUACAUUCCCAAUAUCCUGCCAACUGAAUCCAUCAUAGCAAGGUUUCAAUUCAUAAUACCCAAGAGAUGGAACAGCAAAUACAAACCUGUGUGCAUUCAUCUAGCAGGCACUGGAGAUCAUUACUACUGGAGAAGACGCACACUAAUGGCCCGUCCAAUGAUCAAAGAGGCUUGCAUGGCUUCUCUAUUGUUAGAAAACCCUUACUAUGGCUGCAGAAAACCUAAGGACCAAAUUGAGGAAAGAAGAUCAAGUUUAAAAAAUGUCUCGGACCUGUUUGUGAUGGGAGGAGCUCUUGUUUUAGAAUCAGCAGCGCUUUUGCACUGGCUAGAGAGAGAGGGCUAUGGACCUCUAGGGAUGACUGGAAUAUCCAUGGGAGGACAUAUGGCUUCACUAGCAGUGACAAACUGGCCUAAACCAUUGCCAUUGGUUCCUUGUCUUUCCUGGUCCACAGCUUCUGGUGUCUUUACCACGGGUGUGUUGAGCAAAGCAGUGAACUGGAGAGAGCUAGAGAAACAGUACUAUACACAAACUGUUUAUGAAGAAGAAAUCAUUCAAAUGCUUGAAUAUUGUGGAACAGACUCUUUCAAGAUGGGACAAGACUUUGUUAAAAAUUCCCCCAACAGUGUGGACAGUCUGAACAACCUAGCUCUGACUUCCAGAAUGUUGAAUCUGGAUACCACAAGCAAAAUUCUGUCUACAGAAGCCAUUCACUGCCUUAGCACUAGUAAAAGUACUCUAAGUGCCUCAUCAGAAAGACUCUUACUGCAAGAUGCUCCUAAAAUGCAGUGUAUAAAUCAAACAUUUUCAACCAGCAGCAGUAGCAAUAAGAACUUCACCAGUCUGCAGGAGCACCUGAUAAGUGAAGAAAGGAAAAGGGACACUUUACAGAGAGAAUCACUAAGGUUCAUGAAAGGAGUUAUGGAUGAAUGUACCCAUGUAGCUAAUUUCUCAGUUCCAGUUGACCCAAGUCUAAUCAUAGUUGUUCAAGCCAAGGAGGAUGCGUAUGUUCCACGAACUGGAGUGCGCAGCCUUCAAGAUAUAUGGCCAGGAUGUGAAAUCAGGUAUCUGGGUGGAGGUCAUGUCAGUGCCUACCUCUUCAAACAAGGACUCUUCAGCAUGGCCAUGUGGACACAAUCCUCUCCUAAUAUCAUCUUUGGUUUAAUCACAUGAGAUCAGAUGGGCUGGAGAGUUGUUCCCAUCAGUCUAAAUAAUUUCUGAAAUGCGACACUGGAGAGCAUUAGACUCUGUACUCGCAGUACAUAUAUAAUUGUUUAGAAUGACUGGCAUUCUGCAUAUGAAUUUAAAGGCAAGCCAUUUAUGAUGCAUUUGAGCGCUUUCUCCAAAAAUAUGCUGUUUAAUGGUCUUCAUUAUUAAUUUGCUCAAUGUGGUCUUGUGUGAGCUUUCCAUGUCUGGAAUUGCAUAUUGGCGUGCUUUGGAAAGCCAGCCAAUUACACCAAUACUGAAUGGAUGGACACCAACACUGAAUGUCAUACCCAGCAAUUAUCAAUAUUGGCAAAGCAUUAAUAAUAGUAGUUUCAGUUCAACCAAAUGCCCAUCUAAGACAUAUCUGCAUUAAUCUGAACCAUGAAAAUUUUGGUAACAUUUGUUAAUGUAUGAGGGAUUCUAUGUACUUCAUAUCAUCUACUAUUUUAUCACUUCACAUAUGACAUUCUGUUCUGAAGUUUGCAUAUCCGCUGUAAAAAGACCAAUAGAAUGCCAAUAGAACUGUUCAAAUCUAUCCUUUAGAAUUUUAACACUUCUAUAUUUAAUGCAUUGCUAUUUUUUCCAGUUACCAAUUUUUUCCCCGCCCACACUGUUUUGCCCGCUUUUUCCUGUGCUGUUCCUAAAGAUGUUUUUUAAAAAGAACUCCUCCUGCAAGCCCAACUUCAUGUGUUCCAUUGCCAUUGUUUGCGAUUGUCCCAAAUUCAUUGUCGUGAUUUAAAACUGCAGGAAUAAAUAAGAGAAGAUGGACAGCAAUGGGAAUAGAAAAGUCUCUCUCAAAAAAGUGUUAUCUAGGAAAAAAGUAAAUAAAGGCAUAUUUUAUUGACAUGUUUGAAAGCUUUCUCUAUUAUGGAAGUCCUUUUUUAUUUAAAAAAAAAAAAAAAA